rfam:Triticum aestivum genome assembly, contig: Triticum_aestivum_CS42_TGACv1_scaffold_434326_5DL
UUAGCAUANGAUGAGGAAGACAAUUGCUGUCUGAUCUAUUUGAAGAUAAAAUCCUCCUACUCAUUCUGA